GAUGAACGCUGGCGGUGUGCCUAAUACAUGCAAGUCGAGCGAACGGACGAGAAGCUUGCUUCUCUGAUGUUAGCGGCGGACGGGUGAGUAACACGUGGAUAACCUACCUAUAAGACUGGGAUAACUUCGGGAAACCGGAGCUAAUACCGGAUAAUAUUUUGAACCGCAUGGUUCAAAAGUGAAAGACGGUCUUGCUGUCACUUAUAGAUGGAUCCGCGCUGCAUUAGCUAGUUGGUAAGGUAACGGCUUACCAAGGCAACGAUGCAUAGCCGACCUGAGAGGGUGAUCGGCCACACUGGAACUGAGACACGGUCCAGACUCCUACGGGAGGCAGCAGUAGGGAAUCUUCCGCAAAGGGCGAAAGCCUGACGGAGCAACGCCGCGUGAGUGAUGAAGGUCUUCGGAUCGUAAAACUCUGUUAUUAGGGAAGAACAUAUGUGUAAGUAACUGUGCACAUCUUGACGGUACCUAAUCAGAAAGCCACGGCUAACUACGUG
rnacentral:rRNA from 1 species